AACGAACGCUGGCGGCAUGCCUAACACAUGCAAGUCGAACGAGACCUUCGGGUCUAGUGGCGCACGGGUGCGUAACGCGUGGGAACCUGCCCUUAGGUUCGGAAUAACUCCCCGAAAGGGGUGCUAAUACCGGAUAAUGUCUUCGGACCAAAGAUUUAUCGCCUUUGGAUGGGCCCGCGUUGGAUUAGCUAGUUGGUAGGGUAAAAGCCUACCAAGGCGACGAUCCAUAGCUGGUCUGAGAGGAUGAUAGCCACACUGGGACUGAGACACGGCCCAGACUCCUACGGGAGGCAGCAGUGGGGAAUAUUGGACAAUGGGCGAAAGCCUGAUCCAGCAAUGCCGCGUGAGUGAUGAAGGCCUUAGGGUUGUAAAGCUCUUUUACCCGGGAUGAUAAUGACAGUACCGGGAGAAUAAGCUCCGGCUAACUCCGUG
rnacentral:rRNA from 1 species